rnacentral:lncRNA from 1 species
UAGUUUGUUACAUACUCCUUGAAAUAAUUAUACUUGUUUCAUUCGAAAUGUCAAGAGGCAUGGGGUAAAUUGUUCAGCGCCAAGGUCUACGAUGUCAAGAUCCAUAGCGCCAAGGCUUUGCGCCAUCAUGGAUGGCACCAAGCCCCCGUCACGUCGGCAUCAGCGUCAGCAGCUGCGUAUGGAUCUUGGCGUCAGGAGGGUUGGCGCCGAGACAUGUAAGCUUAGCGCCAACGUGGAUGGUGACAAGCUAAGGGUUCAUAUUUUGAAAUGGUUCCGUCAGGAGCGUAUUUGUGAGAAUCUUAAAAAAAAUUAAAAAAUAAAAAAGACGGACCGUGCAUGCGGGGAGGUGGUGGACGCCUGGGCGGGCUAGGUGGUGGACCGCGGCGCUGGGCUGUCGGCUCCCACCGGGCGCCCGUAAACCUGACUGGCCCCGGCGUGGGUCACGAGGAAAACGUGGGGAAAUCCGU